ACAAAGUUUCCCAGAAGGCCAUGUAUGCUCUGAAUCAGCAGCCAAUAUAUGGUACUAUUUCUCCCAUACCCAGGAUUCAUGGGUCCAGGAAUCAGGGGUAGAAGUGAAAGUGGCACCGCUCACCAUCACCCCUAGUGAUCCACUAGCAAAAUACUUGCUUCCUGCUCCUGUGACAUUACAUUCUGCCAGCCUGGAAGUCUUAGUUACAGAGAGAGGAAUGCUGCCACCAGGAGACAGAACAACAAUUCCAUUAAAGUGGAAGUUAAGAUUGCCACCUCGACACUUUGAGCUCCUCCUACCUUUAAGUCAAUAGGCUAAGAAGGGAGUUAUAGUGUUGACUGGGGUGACUGACCUGAACUAUCAAGAUGAAAUCAGUCUACUACUCCACAAUGAAGGGAGAAAAAAGGGAGACCAAGGGAGACACAACACAUCUCUCUUCCAAAAGGCCAGGCCAGAUCACUGAUAAAAGCAGCGUUUUUCCUGACAAUUACGUGGUCUCCCCAAAGAUGAAGUCACUUAGGACCACCACAUUUAAUUGCUUGCUUGGAAAUUAAAAGUUACCGCUAAUUCAAAAGGAACUAAAAAAAAGUCCCAAAGCUUAAUGACUGCCAUUAGUACCUCCAAAGGAAGUUGCUGCUUUCUUUUUCCAUGUAUAGGAUAGCUUACUGCAUCUCUAUGGCCAUCAGAUUGUCAAUGACCAUGACAAGACUUCCAGUUUUUUCAGCUGGGAAGACUUAAAGAAACUGUGAUGGGACAGCCAUCCCUCAUAUUCCUGUGAAGAACAGACAUAAAAGAAGGUUUUUAUUCAUUUUCUGUGCCUUGCAUUGUUUAGCCAGUCACCUGAUGUUUCUGUCAUGUUGCAAAUCUGGAAAAUUACUCUUUGCUGAAAUGUUU
rnacentral:lncRNA from 1 species